UCUGAUGCCCGGGGCCGCACGCGCGCUACACUGAAGGAAUCAGCGUGUGCUUUCCCUGUCCGGUAGGACUGGGUAACCCGUUGAACCUCCUUCGUGAUAGGGAUAGGGGCUUGUAAUUGUUCCCCUUGAACGAGGAAUACCCAGUAAGCACGAGUCAUCAACUCGUGCUGAUUACGUCCCUGCCCUUUGUGCACACCGCCCGUCGCUACUACCGAUUGAAUGAUUUAGUGAGGUCUUCGGACUGGCGCUCGAACUCGGCCUUCCGGCCGGGCCGAAGUGCCGGAAAGAUGACCGAACUUGAUCAUUUAGAGGAAGUAAAAGUCGUAACAAGGUAGCC
rnacentral:rRNA from 1 species